UGACGACGGAUCAAGAAAUUUCUGCACUCGGUUAACGAACUGAGUACAUAUCACCAAGGAUAAGGAUUCAGAGCCGGCGGCUGGCAGUCCAGAGAAAGAGAAUGCGGAAAAACCUAGUCCACCGGCAGUAGAACCAAAGCUGCACCUGAUGUUUGGAGUUCGGUAGCUACGGAAAUUCUGACUCUACAAGCUGCAAGAGAAAAUGGAGAAACAGCUUCCUCCGCGGAAGGCAUUCACCCGGCGGAUGCAAGUUUGCUAAUGAAAGAUGUUCGCUAAGGUCUAGUAGAAUCAAAGCUGGAUCUGGAGGUGCAGCGGAAGGAUUCUUCUUCGCCGAUUGGUUGGUUAAAACUUUCGAAGCUUUGCACAUGAAGCCGGAAUUACUACAGGGAGUCUAUGCGAUGGGUUUCAACGCCCCUUCCAAGAUUCAGGAGAUGGCUCUACCUACUCUGUUGGCCGGUCUGCCACGGAAUAUAAUCGCUCAGUCAGUCGGGAAUAGGAAAAACCGUUGCCUUCGUGCUGGCAAUGCUCAGUUGAGUCCAUCAGUUGAAAAACUAUCUGCAGGUGAUUUGCCUUUCCCCCACGUAUGAGCUGGCAAUUCAGUAGGGGAAGUAGCUGCCAAAAUGGCAAAGUUUUGUCCGGAAAUCAAACUUCCUUACGCCGUUCGCGGUGAGGAGACCGUCAAAGGGGCGAAGCUGACUAAUCAUAUCAUCAUCGGAACACCCGGCAAGCUAAUGGACUGGGGUAUAAAGUUCAGGACGUACGACCUAGUUUCCCCUUUUUGUACUGGACGAGGCGGGUGUUAUGGUCGGUGUUAUUCUUGGCCACGUACGAGCGCGAGGUGAUGGAGUUUGCCGAGUACAUCGUACCCAAUCCGAUCGUCAUUCGACAGGCGCGGGAGCAAGAAUCAUUCGAUAACAUCAAACAAUACUACCUCAAGUUCCGCAUCCAGGACGAGAAGUUGUGUGAUUACCGUUGGACAAGCGAUCAUUUUCUGUCAUAUGAUCUAUAGGACAAUUGUAAACUCCAAGUAAACUUAUUUUCAGAACUGUUAAUCGAUCGUUUCGAUUACGUACGCAAAACGGCCGGUUGGUUGACCGGCAGGAUGUCCCAGGAUGGUCACUCGGUGGCGGUACUGUCCGGUGAUCUAACGGUGGAGCAACGGUUGGACGCUCUGGAUCGAUUCCGAACCGGACUAGAGAAGGUACAGAUUAUAACGAACGUUUUGUCCAGAGGUAAGUUCCACCACUUGAUUCUGGCUACAGCACCAGGUUACGGAGAGAUUCCUUUGGCUUAAAUAUCGACGUCGAACAGGUGACCAUUGUCGUCAACUUCGACCUGCCGAUGGAUCAGCAGGGACGAGCCGAUUGCGAAACGUAUCUAUAUCGAAUUAGACGCACCGGUAGAUUCGAACGGAAUCACCAUCAACCUAGUGGGCAGUGAUCGAAGCAUGAUGAUUUGCAGAUCAAUCAAAAAACACUUCCCGAAAAAGAUUCAGUUGCUAGACGCGGAGAACUCGGACGAAAUUGAAAAGAUCGCACCGUAAAGUGUUUUCGACCAGCUACUGGUGAAAGGCGUAGGAGCUUUUUUGGGUCAUACUUGUGUUGAUUCUGAAUUUAUAAUUUUAUUAUAUUUUUUUAUUUUUUUUUCUUCCUUGACCUGACAUAAGGUAUACAAAUGUAAUCUCUGAACUAAAACAUCAGAUGAAUAGCAUUAAGGAAACUUUAGCAGACCUAACAGACUUGAAUUGCAAUGUCCCAGCCUCUACAUCAAUUGUUAAUUCGACUAUCUCAUCACCAUUAUCUUCGACAAAGCUUCGGUAUGGUUCGAAAACAGAUACAGCUUCGAGUAAGACAAUAAGAACGCCUUCUGAGAGAUGCUGGAUCUUUCUUACCAGAAUAAAAAAUACUGUCAGUGAACGAAAAAUUGCCGAGAUGGUUGCUGUUUCAACGGGGAGUGCUAUAGAGACAGUCGUGGUGAAUAAACUAGUACUGCAGUGGAAGAACGUGUUGACGAUGCCUUUCGUUUCGUUUAAAGUUGGCAUUGAUGCCAAUUUGGCGGAGAUUGCGUUAAACCCGUCAACAUGGCCAAAAGGAGUUUGUUUUCGGGAAUUCGUAAAUCGAACGACUGUCUGGGAACCUGCUGGAUAAAAUAUGUAACUAAUUCAUAAAUUUUUGGUUUGUGCAUAAUAAUUCUAUCCGUUUUUUUAAAGAUAUAAUGAUUGUAUGUAUAAGUAAUUAGUAUUUAAGUACAAGUCUGUACGAGCUUGCUCGAAGGCGAUAAAUAAAUAAAAA